GGUUAAGCGACUAAGCGUACACGGUGGAUGCCCUGGCAGUCAGAGGCGAUGAAGGACGUGCUAAUCUGCGAUAAGCGUCGGUAAGGUGAUAUGAACCGUUAUAACCGGCGAUUUCCGAAUGGGGAAACCCAGUGUGUUUCGACACACUAUCAUUAACUGAAUCCAUAGGUUAAUGAGGCGAACCGGGGGAACUGAAACAUCUAAGUACCCCGAGGAAAAGAAAUCAACCGAGAUUCCCCCAGUAGCGGCGAGCGAACGGGGAGCAGCCCAGAGCCUGAAUCAGUGUGUGUGUUAGUGGAAGCGUCUGGAAAGGCGCGCGAUACAGGGUGACAGCCCCGUACACAAAAAUGCACAUACUGUGAGCUCGAUGAGUAGGGCGGGACACGUGGUAUCCUGUCUGAAUAUGGGGGGACCAUCCUCCAAGGCUAAAUACUCCUGACUGACCGAUAGUGAACCAGUACCGUGAGGGAAAGGCGAAAAGAACCCCGGCGAGGGGAGUGAAAAAGAACCUGAAACCGUGUACGUACAAGCAGUGGGAGCACGCUUCGGCGUGUGACUGCGUACCUUUUGUAUAAUGGGUCAGCGACUUAUAUUCUGUAGCAAGGUUAACCGAAUAGGGGAGCCGAAGGGAAACCGAGUCUUAACUGGGCGUUAAGUUGCAGGGUAUAGACCCGAAACCCGGUGAUCUAGCCAUGGGCAGGUUGAAGGUUGGGUAACACUAACUGGAGGACCGAACCGACUAAUGUUGAAAAAUUAGCGGAUGACUUGUGGCUGGGGGUGAAAGGCCAAUCAAACCGGGAGAUAGCUGGUUCUCCCCGAAAGCUAUUUAGGUAGCGCCUCGUGAAUUCAUCUCCGGGGGUAGAGCACUGUUUCGGCAAGGGGGUCAUCCCGACUUACCAACCCGAUGCAAACUGCGAAUACCGGAGAAUGUUAUCACGGGAGACACACGGCGGGUGCUAACGUCCGUCGUGAAGAGGGAAACAACCCAGACCGCCAGCUAAGGUCCCAAAGUCAUGGUUAAGUGGGAAACGAUGUGGGAAGGCCCAGACAGCCAGGAUGUUGGCUUAGAAGCAGCCAUCAUUUAAAGAAAGCGUAAUAGCUCACUGGUCGAGUCGGCCUGCGCGGAAGAUGUAACGGGGCUAAACCAUGCACCGAAGCUGCGGCAGCGACGCUGAUGCGUUGUUGGGUAGGGGAGCGUUCUGUAAGCCUGCGAAGGUGUGCUGUGAGGCAUGCUGGAGGUAUCAGAAGUGCGAAUGCUGACAUAAGUAACGAUAAAGCGGGUGAAAAGCCCGCUCGCCGGAAGACCAAGGGUUCCUGUCCAACGUUAAUCGGGGCAGGGUGAGUCGACCCCUAAGGCGAGGCCGAAAGGCGUAGUCGAUGGGAAACAGGUUAAUAUUCCUGUACUUGGUGUUACUGCGAAGGGGGGACGGAGAAGGCUAUGUUGGCCGGGCGACGGUUGUCCCGGUUUAAGCGUGUAGGCUGGUUUUCCAGGCAAAUCCGGAAAAUCAAGGCUGAGGCGUGAUGACGAGGCACUACGGUGCUGAAGCAACAAAUGCCCUGCUUCCAGGAAAAGCCUCUAAGCAUCAGGUAACAUCAAAUCGUACCCCAAACCGACACAGGUGGUCAGGUAGAGAAUACCAAGGCGCUUGAGAGAACUCGGGUGAAGGAACUAGGCAAAAUGGUGCCGUAACUUCGGGAGAAGGCACGCUGAUAUGUAGGUGAGGUCCCUCGCGGAUGGAGCUGAAAUCAGUCGAAGAUACCAGCUGGCUGCAACUGUUUAUUAAAAACACAGCACUGUGCAAACACGAAAGUGGACGUAUACGGUGUGACGCCUGCCCGGUGCCGGAAGGUUAAUUGAUGGGGUCAGCGCAAGCGAAGCUCUUGAUCGAAGCCCCGGUAAACGGCGGCCGUAACUAUAACGGUCCUAAGGUAGCGAAAUUCCUUGUCGGGUAAGUUCCGACCUGCACGAAUGGCGUAAUGAUGGCCAGGCUGUCUCCACCCGAGACUCAGUGAAAUUGAACUCGCUGUGAAGAUGCAGUGUACCCGCGGCAAGACGGAAAGACCCCGUGAACCUUUACUAUAGCUUGACACUGAACAUUGAGCCUUGAUGUGUAGGAUAGGUGGGAGGCUUAGAAGUGUGGACGCCAGUCUGCAUGGAGCCGACCUUGAAAUACCACCCUUUAAUGUUUGAUGUUCUAACGUUGACCCGUAAUCCGGGUUGCGGACAGUGUCUGGUGGGUAGUUUGACUGGGGCGGUCUCCUCCUAAAGAGUAACGGAGGAGCACGAAGGUUGGCUAAUCCUGGUCGGACAUCAGGAGGUUAGUGCAAUGGCAUAAGCCAGCUUGACUGCGAGCGUGACGGCGCGAGCAGGUGCGAAAGCAGGUCAUAGUGAUCCGGUGGUUCUGAAUGGAAGGGCCAUCGCUCAACGGAUAAAAGGUACUCCGGGGAUAACAGGCUGAUACCGCCCAAGAGUUCAUAUCGACGGCGGUGUUUGGCACCUCGAUGUCGGCUCAUCACAUCCUGGGGCUGAAGUAGGUCCCAAGGGUAUGGCUGUUCGCCAUUUAAAGUGGUACGCGAGCUGGGUUUAGAACGUCGUGAGACAGUUCGGUCCCUAUCUGCCGUGGGCGCUGGAGAACUGAGGGGGGCUGCUCCUAGUACGAGAGGACCGGAGUGGACGCAUCACUGGUGUUCGGGUUGUCAUGCCAAUGGCACUGCCCGGUAGCUAAAUGCGGAAGAGAUAAGUGCUGAAAGCAUCUAAGCACGAAACUUGCCCCGAGAUGAGUUCUCCCUGAC
rnacentral:rRNA from 1 species